rnacentral:rRNA from 1 species
UACGAAGGGGGCUAGCGUUGUUCGGAAUCACUGGGCGUAAAGGGCGCGUAGGCGGCUUUAUAAGUCGGGGGUGAAAGCCUGUGGCUCAACCACAGAAUUGCCUUCGAUACUGUAGAGCUUGAGACCGGAAGAGGUAAGUGGAACUGCGAGUGUAGAGGUGAAAUUCGUAGAUAUUCGCAAGAACACCAGUGGCGAAGGCGGCUCACUGGCCCGAUACUGACGCUGAGGCACGAAAGCGUGGGGAGCAAACAGG